GGACACGGGGAUGGGGUGCAGGACACAAGGGAUGGGCUGCAGGACAUGGGGAUGGGCUUCACAGCCCGGGCUGGGCUGCAGGGCACGAGGAUGGGCUGAAGGACAUGGGGAUGUGCUGGAGGGCACCAGGAUGGCAUCCCAUUGCAGGGAACCCCUGCUACAGUAAGAACCCCUGUGCCCCUGGGCAUGCUCUGCACCCCACGCUGUGUGCAACCCACCCUGUGCACCACACCUUGCACCCCCCUCUUUGCUCACCACCACCCCCUGCCCUGCCAGCCACGGGCCCACCUCCAGCAGCAGCUCUUAGGGUACCACAGCCUGGCAAUGGGGUCCAGGGCUCCAAGUUUUCAUGCCCCAAAGUGAUGCCAUCCCCACCUGCACCUCCUGGCAGCCAGUUGUGCCCCCAGCUGUGCCCCCACCCCAGCAUUAGGGCUGUUUAAUACUUCCUCUGCCUCCCACACACUCAGCACACGCUCCAAGAAAGAUCCAAGGACAAAUCCACCAG